UGUGUGUGUGUUAGUGCGAGCAAAAAGCGCUGAUUAAAAGCUUAAAUUGGCUUAAACAAAGCGUACAAUCAACAAGAAAUAAACAACAAGCUGAGCCAUCAACAAGCAACAACAACAACAA